rnacentral:rRNA from 1 species
CCCUUAGAUGUCCUGGGCCGCACGCGCGUUACACUGAUGCAUUCAACGAGCCUAUAACCUUGGCCGAGAGGCCUGGGCAAUCUUGUUAACGUGCAUCGUGAUAGGGAUAGAUUAUUGAAAUUAUUAAUCUUGAACGAGGAAUUCCUAGUAAACGCAGAUCAUCAAUCUGCAUUGAUUACGUCCCUGCCCUUUGUACACACCGCCCGUCGCACCUACCGAUUGGAUGGUCCGGUGAAGCCUCGGGAUUGUGGUUCUUGCCGCUUUAUUGUGGCGUGACCGCGAGAACUUGUCUAAACCUUAUCAUCUAGAGGAAGGUGAAGGCGUAACA